rnacentral:lncRNA from 1 species
UUCUGUCCGCAGCCCCUGAACGGGUCGCUGACGCUGGAGUUGGUGAACGAGAAGUUCUGGAAGCUCAGCAAACCCCUGGAGCUCUACUACGCCCCCACCAAGGAGCAGAAAUAGCCAAAAACGCCCAAAACGCCCCAAAAUCCAACCUGGGGGACACCAAAAUCCAACCUGGGGACACAGAAAUUUCCCAAAAUUAAAUUUGGGAACCCCAAAAUCCCCUCCCAGGGGGGCUCAGAUUUGGGUGGGAAUUUUGGGGAAUUUUUGGGUGAAAUUUUCAGUAAAUUUCAGGAAUUUUUGGGUGAAAUUUUCAGUAAAGUUCAGGAAUUUUUGGGUGAAAGUUUCAGUAAAUUUCAGGAAUUUUUGGGUGAAAAUUUCAGUAAAGUUCAGAAAUUUUUGGGGAAUUUUUGGGUGAAAUUUUCAGUAAAUUUGAAGAAUUUUUGGGGGA